rnacentral:rRNA from 1 species
AGAUUGAACGCUGGCGGCAGGCCUAACACAUGCAAGUCGAGCGGCAGCACGGGUACUUGUACCUGGUGGCGAGCGGCGGACGGGUGAGUAAUGCCUAGGAAUCUGCCUGGUAGUGGGGGAUAACGCUCGGAAACGGACGCUAAUACCGCAUACGUCCUACGGGAGAAAGCAGGGGACCUUCGGGCCUUGCGCUAUCAGAUGAGCCUAGGUCGAUUAGCUAGUUGGUGAGGUAGUGGCUCACCAAGGCGACGAUCCGUAACUGGUCUGAGAGGAUGAUCAGUCACACUGGAACUGAGACACGGUCCAGACUCCGUACGGGGGGCAGCAGGUGGGAAUAGUUGGAACAAGUGGGACGAAAGCCUAGACUCCACGCCAAGUGGCCGCGGUGUGGUAGAAGAAGGUCGUU